rnacentral:rRNA from 1 species
ACUGGGCGUAAAAGCGCAUGCAGGUGGUUUGUUAAGUCAGAUGUGAAAAAGCCCGGGCUCAAACCUCGGAAACUGCAUUUGAAAAACUGGCAGACUAGAGUACUGUAGAGGGGGUAGAAUUUCAGGUGUAGCGGUGAAAAUGCGUAGAGAUCUGAAGGAAUACCGGUGGCGAAGGCGGCCCCUGGACAGAUACUGACACUCAGAUGCGAAAGCGUGGGGAGCAAACAGGAUUAGAUACCCUGGGAG